GAAACGUAGUUCUACAGCCUCCAUCGCCGGUUGUUUCCUCGAGAGACGAACUCAGUUUCCCACGUGGCGCUGCGGCAGCCAGUCCGAGGUCGGACUUUCCCGGCCUACAGGAGGGUUUGAACUGGGCAGUAGUCGCUGGCACAGGUUCGGAGUGAUGGUACUUGUGUCUUGGGUCUGGGAAGGUUUCGACCAAGAUUCGGCACUCUCAAUUCCCACCUGAUAAUUGAGUAUCAAAGCAUCCCGCUUUCCCCCUAGAGUCCCCAAGCGCUGCUCUCCUGACCAGUCCCAGUUUGGCUUGAUAACUGCAUCCCUCCCUACCUUUAGUAUUACAUCCCCACUCCCCACUUUCUAUCUGAAGUGUGGCCUUACUGGGCUGUGUCUCUGGUGUUCCGGGCUGGAAGAGCAAAGGCACAAGACGUCAGGGAGCCUUGCGGAAGGUUAUGAGUAGGAGCCUGAGCUGGUAUGAGCACCUCGACGUGCUUCUCAAUGCUACCGAUGGAAAUGUGGCCAGGAUUAAGCAGCGGCUGUAUCCUCUUGGAGUCUCCACAGCGGCAGGAGAUUUGGCUGGGACCUGGAUUUCCCCUCAUCACUUGCCUCCUCAGUCUGGAGUCCAUGCUCAACAGCCUUGGGCUCUAGAGACUCCUUUUGUCCCAGAGAGGCUGAGUUGGGGUAAGGCCCAUGGUGCAUCUUCUCUCUGGGAUGAAGUUAUUAUUCUCCAAUCCCAGCUUCAAUCCCAGGCUCAGGUGACUGAGACACUAAGACAGGCUGUGCAGGGGCUGCUGGAAGAGCAAGAGCAGCAGAAGUAUAAGAUCUGUACCCUGGAAGCAUCACUAAGGUUGCUGCAGGGGAGCCCAGAGCAGAGGGUCCUUCUCCUGGAUCAAUGCCUGGAGGGGCUGAGAAGGGAACUGCAGGGCCUUCGAAGCCAGGUGCAGGAACAGGCCCAAGCCCAAAUACAAACAGGACCACAAAAACGUAGUGCUACUGGUGGCCUUCACCAAGAGCUGCAGAAUGAGUGUCAACUCCUGUGGGAGGAAUCAGAGAUUCUUCAGGAGGAGCUGAAAUUGCUGCAGGACCAGCUGAGCCAGCACCAGGAGCUGCUGCUGAAACAGAUGGCUGAAGGGGGGCAAGCUCAGGCCCACAGCUGGAAGGACCUCCAUUCACAUCCUCCAAUCUAAGUUGUCCCUGGCUGCCACCUUCACCAUGUCUCUUUCUUCAUCUACCUCUGAAGUCAGUCUUCCAGACAGCAACAGUAGCUGGGAAACUAGAUCUCCAGAAGAGCACACUUUCUAACCUGGAGCCCAGCAGCUUUCAGCUUUAGGCCCAGAGCCUUGAGCAGGAGAACAUAUUCUUUAAGGGCCCCACAAUGUUCCUGAGUGACCUGUAAGAACUUGUAAGAGUAGCUUUG